rnacentral:rRNA from 1 species
UACAGAGACCUCAAGCGUUAUCCGGAAUCAUUGGGCGUAAAGCGUACCGAUAGGUGGUUUAUAUAGUUUUGGGUAAAAGCCAGAAGCUUAACUUCUGCGUUUGCUCAAAAUACUUAUAGACUAGAGGGGCAAAGAGGUGCUUGGAACGAAUGGUGUAGUAGUGAAAUGCGUUGAUAUCAUUCGGAACACCGAAAGCGAAGGCAGAGCACUGGGUGCCACCUGACACUGCUAGGACGAGAGCGUGGGGAGCGAAUGGG